AGGAGGCACAGGGAGAUUUUUCUAAGCCGGGGGCUUCCUGGAUACCUCCAGACAGUCAGAAAGGUCAAUGCUGCCCAGUUUCACGGCCUCAGGUAUACUAUCAGCCCCUAUUGGGCUGCUCUCCAAGUGCCCAGAAGAACUUAAAGACAGACCACAGAGUGCAGAAUAUCAGAACUGUGCAAAGAACAUAUAAGGACUGACAUGUACCCACUAGGGUAUUGCAAAAAUGGCAGCGUGACUUCUGAGAUUCCUUCAUAAAAGACAUUGCAGCUUCUGCCUUAUUCUCUUUUGGAUCACUUGCUCUAGGCUAGCGGAAGCCAGCUGCUCUGUUGUAAGCACACUCAAGCAGCCCUAUGGAGGAUUAUAGGUGGUGAGGAACUGAGGCUUCCUGCCAACAGCCAGAACCAAUUUGCCGGCAAUGCUGAGGUGCCAGUCAAGCCUUCAAGGGAUCACAGCUCCCUUAGACUACAACCUUAUGAGAAAGCUUAAGCUGGAACCACCCAGAAAAGUCACUCCUGAAUUACUGACACAGAAACUGUGAGAUAAUAAAUGC
ensembl:lncRNA